rnacentral:tRNA from 1 species
GCCCGGAUGGCGGAACUGGUAGACGCAAGGGACUUAAAAUCCCUCGGUCGAAAGACUGUGCCGGUUCGAUCCCGGCUCCGGGCACCA